CCUACGGGAGGCAGCAGUGAGGAAUAUUGGUCAAUGGGCGGACGCCUGAACCAGCCAAGUCGCGUGAGGGAAGACGGCCCUAUGGGUUGUAAACCUCUUUUGUCAGGGAGCAAUUGGGGCUACGUGUAGCGUUAUCGAGAGUACCUGAAGAAAAAGCAUCGGCUAACUCCGUGCCAGCAGCCGCGGUAAUACGGAGGAUGCGAGCGUUAUCCGGAUUUAUUGGGUUUAAGGGGUGCGUAGGCGGAAUGCCAAGUCAGCGGUAAAAUCGCGGGGCUCAACCUCGCUCCGCCGUUGAAACUGGCAGUCGUGAGUGGGCGAGAAGUAUGCGGAAUGCGAGGUGUAGCGGUGAAAUGCAUAGAUAUCACGCAGAACUCCGAUUGCGAAGGCAGCAUACCGGCGCCCAACUGACGCUGAGGCACGAAAGCGUGGGUAUCGAACAGGAUUAGAUACCCGAGUAGUC
rnacentral:rRNA from 1 species